rnacentral:rRNA from 1 species
AGUGAACGCUGGCGGUAGGCCUAACACAUGCAAGUCGAACGGCAGCACAGUAAGAGCUUGCUCUUACGGGUGGCGAGUGGCGGACGGGUGAGGAGUACAUCGGAAUCUACUUUUUCGUGGGGGAUAACGUAGGGAAACUUACGCUAAUACCGCAUACGACCUACGGGUGAAAGCAGGGGAGCUUCGGACCUUGCGCGAUUGAAUGAGCCGAUGUCGGAUUAGCUAGUUGGCGGGGUAAAGGCCCACCAAGGCGACGAUCCGUAGCUGGUCUGAGAGGAUGAUCAGCCACACUGGAACUGAGACACGGUCCAGACUCCUACGGGAGGCAGCAGUGGGGAAUAUUGGACAAUGGGCGCAAGCCUGAUCCAGCCAUACCGCGUGGGUGAAGAAGGCCUUCGGGUUGUAAAGCCCUUUUGUUGGGAAAGAAAAGCAGCAGGUUAAUACCCCGCUGUUCUGACGGUACCCAAAGAAUAAGCACCGGCUAACUUCGUG